CAUUUGUACGGGUUUUGUGUUUUGUUGGGCUGAAUCAUUCUUCGCCUAGCCCAUAAGGGUAUACUUGAUGAAACACGGCGUUUUCCAUUAGUCAAGCGUGUUCGUCUCUUUCCCGUCUCUAGAGCUAAUGGCGAUUGGGAUUUCUAAUAUGCUCUUUCAUCUUUUUUUCACUGUCCGAAACGAUACAUGUAACAGAGUUACCCUCUUUAUUCCAUUAAUGGAUCAUCCACAAUCUACUUUCAAUGCGACAUUUUGUUAUGCAAGGCGGUGGAUUUCGAUUAUAAAAAGAAUGGCCCCUCCUCUUCCACCGUUGAAGGCCAGGAAUAUCCGCCGUGGUGGAGAUCUCAUGGGAGUAGACAUACUCCUUGAUUCUCAGGAACCAAAUCUCCGUGAAGCAGCAACUUCAGCACUAUAUUGUCUACCGGAGAUGAAAAUAUUACGUGAAGGCAAGCUUUUGAAUCACAAGCCAGAGACCAAAUACCGAUUCACCAGUUACAGAUUCAUCGCAUUAAACAUCUUCUCAACUCCUGCAGCCACGAUCUAUUCUUCAAUGUAAAGUUAUCGUCUACGAGGCAUUGAUCUGCGGGUAUAAAAAGUGCGGUAGAUGUUUCCUCCACCGUCGACGCCAGGUUGCUGCGAUUGUGGGAGGCCAGGAAUGUGAAGCAAAAUCUGAAACCGAAGAAGAUGAAGAACUGAGAUCGUUUGUAAAAAAAUUGCAAGCAAGAUGGAGUGUGACAGAGCAAGCGACGGAGGAUAACGACAAGCGGCGACGGAGGAUAACGACAAGCGGCGAAGAGUAACACAGCACUCGGCGGUGAGCAACGCAGCACUCGGCGGAGAGAAACGAAGAAAGCGGCGGAGAGUAACGGAGAAAUUAGUGGAAGAGCAACAGAGCAAUGAACAAGAGGCAUUGAGAUGGAUCAAGUGACGGAAAGAGUGAGAUGGACAGACAUGAAACAAGCGACAGAUAGUGUGACAAGAGAUAGGAAAUGCAAUUGCUGCAGUUCAAUCUGGCACAAGGGAGGUUCAUAGGCUCUCGGACAGGGUAAAUUAAUCACUCUGUUAGCAAACAUAUAACAAAGGUCUGAAUGUAUCAUGGUACAGUUGUCGUUUCCUUGGCUUCAGACAAGAUAUAGCAAACAAACACACUGUGUGCAUAGCUUGGCGAUUGAAUUGGACUAAAUGGAAAGACUUUGGCCAGUGGAAGACCGAUGAACUAUCAAAAGAAAAAUUUGUAAUGAUACGAGCGCUCAUACAUUGCAUUUGUAAAUAAUAAUAUUUUUAGCUUAAGCACGUAUUAGAUGUAGCUCUGUACUUUUCAGUUUGUUUGUUUUUUACUUAAAAGUAAUUUUUCUCUUUAUAUAUCACAGUUAGUGUACCAAAUAUUGAUGGAA